UUAACGUUUUCACGUUGGUUCGGACGACACGGUACAGGUUGGGUUAGGGGCCUCUAGCGGGCGCACGCGAGCGAGGAGCCCGCGGCUAGGGGCCUAGGCGGCCCGCUAAAGCAACAUGGUACAGACGGCACGGGGUGGGAGUUCGCCCCCGGGGGGGCGCGAGCUCGGUAAUGAUCCUUCCGCAGGUUCACCUACGGAAA
rnacentral:misc_RNA from 1 species